rnacentral:rRNA from 1 species
UACAGAGGGUGCGAGCGUUAAUCGGAAUUACUGGGCGUAAAGCGUGCGUAGACGGUUAUGUAAGUCAGAUGUGAAAGCCCCGGGCUUAACCUGGGAAUGGCAUUUGAGACUGCGUAGCUAGGAUGCGGAAGAGGGAAGUGGAAUUUCCGGUGUAGCGGUGAAAUGCGUAGAUAUCGGAAGGAACAUCAGUGGCGAAAGCGACUUCCUGGUCCAGCAUCGACGUUCAGGCACGAAAGCGUGGGGAGCAAACAGG